AAAAAAACUGUGGCUAGGGAUGAGAGCGAGCAAAGAAGCUACAUUGCAGCCUGUGGUCACAGGGAAGGCUGACACCAGGGCCAAGCCCACAGCAUUUCUCUAAGCGCUUAGUUUCUGAGGAGAUUCUGUCCCAGCAGUUCAAGGUGAAACAUCAAUUUUUGUUCUUUUCAUUUUAGGGCCAAUAAAGUCAUAAUGCACAUAUGCCUCAGUAUAUUGAACUUAAAAAUUAUGAUUGCAAAAUUUAUUGAGAAUUUAUUUAAUCCAGUAUCCUGACCAAAUGGGAUCAGUGAAAUGGACCAAACAAUGAACAAUCUUAUGACCAUCUCAGAAGGAUGGUCUGUUUUUCUCUUUUCUGAGAAAGAGGCUGUUUUUAUCUCCAAAUGAUCUGUUUGGAUAUCAGCAAGAAAUUUAACUGUAUAUAUUGACUUUCAAGUAGUUAUGCUGAGCCAAAACAAUACAGCAAAACAAAACUUUAAAAAAGUAUACAAGAACCAAAGACUAAUUUCAUAACCUUGCUGAGUUUCUUGCUUUGCGGCUUCCUAGUUCUACGAGUUACACAUUAUGUAUUUUAUCAGUCAAACCCAGCCCGAUUCUACCCAGGAAGGGUCACCAGUGAAAACCCAGAGCAUCAUACUUACUGACAAGAGACUUCCUUCAGACAGGAGGAAGGCAAAAUAUCAACUGCCACUCCUCUUGAUAUCACUCUGGUGGCUCCAGCCAGGACAACUUGGCAUGCAAAGACAAAACAUCCAGAUCUGAAAGUGCAGCUAAAAUUCUACCUGGUUGCAGAUGACAUCAUCAUCCACAUGGAAAAUCACAGAAUGCAAAGAUGAAAUUAAGCAUUCCACUUAGAAGAAUACCACGAAGAAUGACAGAGUAAAGGCAAGGAAGUUCAAGACAUUGCUGAAUGGAAUCAGAGGGCUAAAAUGAAGGAGACAUCUGUGGUCUGGGAAGCAUGAUAUGAAGAAGGGCUGCCUUCUCCUAACAGACUUGUUUACACAUUGCACACCAUCUCUACAGAGCCCAUCUGGAGUGUAUGCACACUGAAAAGUUGAUCUGAAAUCCACAGGGAGCCACAGGAGUCCUACAACAGUCACAGCAGCCUUGGGGUAAAGGGAGUACUUGUACCUCCAAAGCUUCCUAGGGAGCAAGAAUCCCCAGGAAAGAGACCUCACAUUUAUAGUGUGUCUAUUAAAAACAAAAAACGCAUUGUAGUGUUUUUGACAGUUCAGUUGGGAAAAAAAAUCUUCAUAAAUUGUACUCAGAACAUUCCAUAUGUAAUAGAGUUAGUCCUUCAAAUAUACAAAAAUUAACUCAAAAAUGUGUCUAAAUGUUUAAGUUACAACUCUCAAGCAGAGGCAUAAAUAUUACAGCCUUGGGUUAAAUAGUUGUUUCCUAACUGUGGCACAAACGCACAAGCAACAAGGAGAAUAAACUGAACUCCCAUCACCAUGAGAAGUACUGCAGCCAGCACAGACGCACGCCUUUAACCCCAGCACUCGGGAGGCAGAGGCAGGUGGAUCUUUGUGAGUUUGAGGCCAGCCUGGUCUACAGAGCUAGUGCCAGGACACCCAGGUUAUUACGAAGAGAAACCCUGUCUUGAAAAACAAAACACAACAAACAACAAACAGAAAAGAAAAGCCGUCUAUCAAAAUUCCAAAAGAUAGUAUCGUGGAAGGGAAAUCAUAAUGCUAAUCAUAAACUUGGGUAAAGCUUAGCAUCCAAAAAAUGUAUAAAAUCACUGGCCAACCAAAUAUAAAAAGAUCUUUUAGUUUGGUCUAAAAACCAAAAAAAGAUACACAUAAGCCACCUACAUUAAGUGCAGGUAUCAGAAGCUGGCCUUCAUUUACAGCUAGUGGAAACUUUAAUGAAGGCCCUCUAGCAUGUAGAACUUGUUAGUUCCUCCAGGGCAUAGUCCAGCCACUGGACUUCUAGAGAGAACUGAAAACAUCCACACAGAAAAGUCUCAUCCUUGAAUCCCCUCCCUUAUCCACAAGGACAUGGUUUUCCUUGGAUUGUGUGGUACAUACACCUUUUAACCUAUAUAUACACCUGAGCUAAGAGUUAGGAAUCAAGCACAGUAAGAAACAUGUGUAACAGUGUGCUGUAAUAAAUGCUGUUUAAAACUAAGAAACUGUUAAUGUUUACAUUUUAUAUUUGGUUCUUUUUGGAUCUUAUUUGACUGGGUAACUGAAAUCCUAGAAGGCAAGACGGGGUAAGGGAGAAUUAUUAUGUGAAUGUUUAGAGUUACAACCCUAAGGAAAAAUCCCAAACUCUAACCUUUAAAUGGACAGUAAACAUACUCACAAAACAGCAUUAUUCUAAAGUAAAUAUAUGAAAAAUGUUCAAAACAUGAUGCCAAGUAAUAAACAUCCAUAGUCUAGGUGAUCCACAAAGCAUAUAACGGACAUGGGGAACUGUGCAAAUAAUUUUUAAUUCUACCUACUAAAGAUGAUACCCAGUUUUCUUUACACUUCUGUUUGCAUGGUGUCAUGCUGUGCAUAAUUUUCUAUCAUUUCUUCACUAUAUUUCGAGCAUGUACGUCUAUGUGAUGAAUGGUCCCAAUAUUCUGUCAUUAGGCACUUGGAUAUUCCCACUCUGUAGCUAAAUAUUUUAAAUAAAUUUGUUUGGACUUCUAGGU
rnacentral:lncRNA from 1 species